UACGUAGGGGGCAAGCGUUGUCCGGAUUUAUUGGGCGUAAAGAGCGUGUAGGCGGUUUGGUAGGUCCGUUGUGGAAACUCGAGGCUCAACCUCGAGACGCCGAUGGAAACCAUCAGACUAGAGUCCGGAAGAGGAGAGUGGAAUUCCUGGUGUAGCGGUGAAAUGCGCAGAUGUCAGGAAGAACACCCGUGGCUAAGGCGGCUCUCUAGUACGGUACUGACGCUGAGACGCGAAAGCGUGGGGAGCGAACAGG
rnacentral:rRNA from 1 species